UGCAGGGAGGGCAUUAGGCCCAGAGUGCACCUGGAGAUCAGAACUGGGGGCACCUAACAGGGGCCUGUAGGGCAGCCAGGACAAGCACAGGAAGAUGGGACCAAGAUGCAUGGAGAAAGCUUGUGGGACAGUGCAGCGUGGCUCCCUGGUGGGCUCCAACACUAGUUAUCAGCUCCCAAUAGCAGCUGCCUUCCCCUGGAGGCUUGCUGGUGCCUGCGGAAUCUCCUUUAUCCUAUAGCAACCACUCUAUGAGGCAGACGCUAUCUCACCCAUUUGCCAAUGAGGAGAUGGAGGCUCAGAGAGGUCUGAUCACUGGCCAAAGCCAGGCAGUGAGUGCUAGAAACAGCACUUGAACUCGAGCCUGUCUCAUCUCACACACCAUGCCUGCCUUUUCUUUUUCUUUCUCUUUCUUUUUCUUUCUUUUCUUUCUUUCUUCCUUUCCUCCCUUCCUUCUUUCUUUCCUUCUUUCUCUUUUCUUUCCUUUUUCUUUCUUUCCUUCCUUCUUUUUCUUUUCCUUUCUUUCUCUCUUUCUUUCUCUCUCUCUCUCCCUCCCUCUCCUCCUCCUCCUUCUUUUUCUUCCUCUUCUCCUCCUCCUCCUUCUUCUUCCUUUUCUUUCCCUUCCUUCUUUCCUUUCCUUCCUUCUUCCUUUCUCCCCUUCUUCCCCUUCCCCUUUCCUUUCCUUUUUCUUUCUUUUUACAGAGACAGAGAACUCCUGGGCUCAAGUGAUCCUCCCACCUCAACCUCCCAGAGAGCUGAAAUUACAGAUUCUCACACUCCAGGCCACUAUCCACCUGCUGUAAUCACCCCAGGGCAAGAUACCAGACAGCUAGUGACAGCCCUUAUUCCACGGAGCCUGCUGAAAUUAUUCAAACUAGCAAAUCUCAAGCCUGCUUACCCUGCCUCACCAGUUCCUUCCUGCAGAAACCAUCAUAAAAGUAAAGUUGCUUUGUCCAGAGUUUUUCUGUCUCAUGUGCGUCAUGUUCGGCCCUGAUGCCUCCCUGGGGACCCCUCCUCUUCCCCCUAUGGCACAGCGGCCCCUCCUCUUGGGAACUGUGAGUAAUAAACUAUCUUUUCAAUGGUAAUUAUUUCCUGAUCUGUCAGCUAUACUAUAUUUCAAAUUUCCUAUUAAUACUAUUUUAUUUUAUUUUUUUGAGACAGAGUCUCACUCUGUCACCCAGACUGGAGUGCAGUGGCAUGAUUUCGGCUCACUGCAACCUCUGCCUACCAAGUUCAGGCGACUCUCCUGCCUCAGCCUCCCAAGUAGCUGGAAUUACAAGCAGGCACCAUCACACCUGGCUAAUUUUUGUAUUUUUAGUUGAGAUGAGGGUUUCAC
rnacentral:lncRNA from 1 species